rnacentral:lncRNA from 1 species
GUAAAAAUUGAAAUGAAAUAAUAAAUAACAAAUUAAGAGAUUAAAAUGAAACAGGUUAAGGACCAAAUUGGAAUUAAAAUAAAAUCAGUGGGCAAAAUUUGAAAUAAAAAAGAGCAAUUUGGGGUUGAUCGAAACACGUGCAAAGACAUAGGGGGCCAAAUGGGAAAUUAAUCCCCAACCCUUAAAGCGCGUCAUUUCGCAUGGGACCAAAUUGAAACAGGUACAAAAUUUACGUGGUCAAAAUAUAAAAACAGUAGCGAUCAGAUUGCACUGUACUGCAAAAGUGGAGGGGCUGAACAUGCAAUUAGCCCCUCCCAACAAAACACACGGAUCUUCAGUAUUGGGUCGGGUCGUGGGUCUUAUACAAAUCGACGUCGUUUUGGCUAUUGUUGUUUAAACCCAAAACAGUGUCGUGUUGAAUCCCAUAUAAAUAACAACAAUAAAAAAAGAAAACCAUGUCAGCUUCAUUCUUCAACAAAAAAUCUGAGGGGUCUCUCAGAUUCUCUCAACCCGCUCUUUGGCCGGCCAUAAUCGUCGCCACAGUGCCGCCGUGGGCGGUGGCAUGUGACUCAAAGGUUAUUUUUACCCCGUUUAAAAAAGGGCCAUUUGAAGAUCGAGCCUUCUUGGCCCAAAGGUCGAAGGAAAAGAGACCCUUGUGCCCUCUCUUGGUCUGAUUUUGGCGGCCACAAAGGGGCUACGGCGAUGAGACUUGCAGGGCGUUUCCAGGUAAGUCCCUCAUUUCUCUUUUUUUUUUUAUCUUCUUUUAUUAAUAGUUUUUUAACAAAACGAAUUUGUAAAAAAAUUAUAAAUAAAAUAAAUAAAUGAAUCGAAAAAAACGAAGAAAACAACAUCCUUUUUGUUCUCUUUUCGAUUUCUAAUAUCCGUAAAAAAUUACAACGAGAAUAUUUCGGCUUUUAUAGCCGAGUUACAAUCUUUUAAUUUCUAUUUUUGUUUUUUUAUAGUUGUUUCUUCUGUUGUUUGCAUUGAUUUCUUUCUGUAGGUGUUAGGUGCACGUGGGGCGUAGAUGUGGCUGGUGUGCGGCGGCCAGGAGCAGGCCUAGGGGCGGCGGCUAAGAGUAGACCUAGGUGCGGUGCACCUAGUGUUUCUUUUGGCUAAAAAGUUUUUAGUUUUGGGCUAGGGUUUAGUUUGGGCUGAGGGUUAAUUUUGUAUUUGGGCCUGGCAUAAUUGGGUUUAAUUUUGUUUAUUAUUUUUUUGGGUCUUUUAUUUGUAGCGACCGGGCAAAAAUAGGCUAUUACAGCUGCCCCUCUUUGCUCGUUGUCGUGUAACGAGAACAGAGCAAAGACAUCAAAAGGGACCAAAUUUGUCCGGUGUCACUGAAUCUUGACUUCUUGGUGCUCAUCUUCUUCAAGUAGCCUCAUUCCAGUCCACUGUGUCUUGUUGCUUCGAUUUACUCUACUAAAACUUCGG